rnacentral:rRNA from 1 species
GACGAACGCUGGCGGCGUGCUUAACACAUGCAAGUCGAACGAAGUGGCGCACGGGUGAGUAACGCGUAAUCAACCUGCCCUUCAGAGGGGGACAACAGUUGGAAACGACUGCUAUUACCGCAUACGGAAGGAGGGGAUUGCUGCUGAUUAGCUAGUGGGAGGGGUAACGGCCCACCAAGGCGAUGAUGAGUAGCCGGUCGGAGAGGUGGAACGGCCACAUUGGGACUGAGUACAGGCCCAUACUCCUACGGGUGGCAGCAGUGGGGGAUCUUCCGCAAUGGACGAAAGUCUGACGGAGCAACGCCGGGUGAGUGAUGACGGCCUUCGGGUUGUAAAGCUCUGUUAAUCGGGACGCGGUACCGGAAUAGAAAGCCACGGCUAACUACGUGCCAGCAGCCGCGGUAAUAC